rnacentral:rRNA from 1 species
GGGAGGCAGCAGUGGGGAAUAUUGGACAAUGGGCGAAAGCCUGAUCCAGCCAUGCCGCGUGUGUGAAGAAGGUCUUCGGAUUGUAAAGCACUUUAAGUUGGGAGGAAGGGCAGUAAAUUAAUACUUUGCUGUUUUGACGUUACCGACAGAAUAAGCACCGGCUAACUCUGUGCCAGCAGCCGCGGUAAUACAGAGGGUGCAAGCGUUAAUCGGAAUUACUGGGCGUAAAGCGCGCGUAGGUGGUUCGUUAAGUUGGAUGUGAAAUCCCCGGGCUCAACCUGGGAACUGCAUCCAAAACUGGCGAGCUAGAGUAUGGUAGAGGGUGGUGGAAUUU